GAAAAAUAUAUAUAUUUAUUAAUGAAAAUAAAUAUAUUCACUAUAAAUUUAUAUCAUUUGAUCUCCUCCCUCUUUUUUAGUUAUUUUGAUAGGCUUAAUCUCUAUCUUUCUUCAUUUUCUAUUCUUUUUCUAGCAACUUUAUCUGUCCUACACUCCUACUUCCAUUAGGAUCCUCCUAGUUCUAGUACUACAAUACACUUAUCCGAAUCCUACCAUAUUUCAACUGUUAUAUCUGAUCACUCUUCAACAUGGAACAACUGUUACACUUGUUCUUGAAGAUCAGCAAAGAUACAUAGAAGAGAUCGUAUCCCAUGGAGUCCACAACUCUCUCUCUCUCUCNNNNNNNNNNNNNNNNNNNNCUCUCUCUCUCUCUCUCUCUCUCUCUCUCUCUCUCUCUCUCUCUCUCUCUCUCUCUCUCUCAUGCUCCUUGAUUUUUUCUUUUUCAGUUUUUCUUAAGGCGUUCGCUUUCAACGCCUUAAGGGGUGUUUUUUGCGCGUUUAACGUCUUGUUCACCGCCUUUGGUGCCUCUACGCCUCAGCUGCAAAGCACACUCGGUAAUCCUUGCGCCUCGCGCUUUUUGAGCCUCAAGGCGAGCCUGAGGCUUGCUUUUUAAAACGCAGAACACAAGGAGACAUACUCAAAAUUCUGGAAUUUUACCAACUGCAGGGAAAACUUUGAAAGAUCACCGAGUUUUCAAUUUACAUAGGAAUAAGCUGAAACUUCCCAGAUCUCUUGUAGACUAACAAAAGAAACAUGUAAAAUUUUCAGAAAAUUUAGACACUUAAAAGUUAGCUAAACGAAUUUUUAAAGUGGCUGUGCAGAACUAAAUAGUUUCUGCAGAAUUUUCAGAAUUUCUAUCCUUUCUUUAUGCAAAGCCAAGAGUUUUGAAUACAAUGUAUUUUGGACAAACCCUGCUUAAAGAACUUCUUGGAAUGUCUAUUUCGACAGAAGAUUAAGCUCAGCUGAAACAGUACUUGAAGAUGAUCCAGAAAUUGGUAACAUACUCAUCCUAGUUAAAAGAUAUACUCAAUUCAUUCUAAACAUUCUACCUAAACCACAUUAUCUCAAACUUCCGCCAACAUAACCGAUUACUCAACAGAAGACUUGCCAACAGACAACACAACUAAAUUCCAAGUUCCCAUACCCAUCAGUACCAAACAGACCACACACUAAACAAAGUCAAAACAUUCAAGUUCUUACCAAGUCUUCUCUUUCCAAGUUGACCACAGCUGCCUUCCUUCCCAACCAACUCUCGAAUCCCUAGCAGACAAAAUAUCGAUUAACAACAACUCCCAUCGAUUUCGUGUCCAAAACAGACGGUAAGAACCUUACCUCAAUCCAAAUCUGUGAAGCUCACCCAACUGCGUUCUCCCUCUUCGGGCAUCCCAAAACGCAGCUUCCUCAACUACACGUGGAAGAGUAGAUAGAUCCUCUCUCCUCGGGCAUCACCGAUUUCCGUCGAAAUUGUCGGACACAGUCGGGUUCUAGACCGACCAAGAAGUAGGUUGUAUGUGGACUAGGUUGAAGAACUUUCCGUCGAAACAGUCGGACACAGUCGGGUUCUAAACCGCUCAAGAACUAGGUUGUAUGUGGACUUGAGUUUAGGGGUUUUGUAGAGGAAAGAGAUUGCAGAUUCAAUUGGUGGUAGUAAGAAGAGGAAGAAGGAAGAACGGGAAGAAGAAUAAAGAGGGAACAAGAGAGGACUAGAAGUUUCAAGGGUUUUCCGGCCUUAAAAAACCCAAAUUCAUGAAAUGUCAAAUUUGCCCUCACUCUAACUCACAAAACUCCGACAAAAUACUAGAACACAGUUUAUUCUCGACUCCUGAUUAAAGCAUAUCACGUAUCCAUGAAUUUAGUUUAUCGUGAUCAACAAUGUUCAUGAAGAGAAAUUUCUCAAAAGGUUAAUGGGUAAAAAGUCAACCCUUAGGUCUUCUAAAGUAUCAACACGAAAUAAAAAGUAAAUUAGGACGUCAUUUACCCUCACUGUGACCAGUAAACUGGUAAAAUAAGAUACGGGAUGUUACAUAGAGGCUGGAUUUCAUUAAUUUCUUCUUAUCCUAUUAGAAAGUGUGUUAGGACGUUUGAAAAACUCAUAAGCAGAUAACUUAUGUCCUGUCAGACACUGAUUUCCAAUCUUGUUGGGAAGGUGUUAUAUAACUUAUACAGCUGGAGACAACGCACUCCAACCACCAAAAAUACACCGCCAAAGUAAGGACUGACAUCUGCAGCUAAGCUCUUUCGCCGCGACCUCGUCUGCAAAGUCAAAUUAUUUUUUGGGGGAGUGGUUUGAGGAAGUGGAAUUAUUUUGGCAUCUUACGUUCUUAAUCCCAAAAGGAUUGUUGCUUGUUAAGUUGCUUGAAGAUUGUUAUUCCAUUCCAUUUCAUUUCUUUGAGCCUCUCACCCUUAGGCCCGGCUCUAGAGCAGGACAGCCGGGCCUAGUUUAAGGACAAAUUAGUGCUUGUUAAGUUUAGUUUAAAUACUUUACAUGCCUGGCUUGGUAGAAUAACCCUUCCAGUUCCAAAAACUACAACAAAACAAGGUAAAGUUUACAUUACGAAUUAGACAAGAGAAUCAUCAAACUCCACCAUCAGAAACGG
rnacentral:lncRNA from 1 species